rnacentral:sRNA from 1 species
CUGCCAUGCUAUGUGAGGAAAUGCACUGUGUUAUUAUCUGUAGAACGCAAAUUUAACAAACUAGCAGGUUCUCAACAGAAACCCACUGAGUGAAGAAUGUGUCCAGCGUGUACUGAAAGUAAUGGAGAGUCAUGCGUCUUUAAAUUUCCUUUCGCUCGAGGGUCUAGGGGUCUCAAAGAGUACUGUGGAAUUACUCCAGAAGCUGCCGGUGUUCAAAGAGAAAGUUGUCUUGCAAGGUGACAUCGGACGCCUCAACAGGGAGAUGGUAUUCAGUUUUAUUUUUACAG